AUGAAACGUAGAACAUAUAAAAAAGUGUUCAUGGCUUGUCUACCAGUGGGUGCCUCCCCCACCAAGCAUAAAAGUGAAACUUCGCCUAUGUUCACAUGCCGAGUUGGAUACAGCAAUCUGUCAUGUGAUAUUAUAACUGUAACCUAGUUGUAAUCGAAUUGUAAACUGUAAUCGACUUAAAUCUCAUAAUUGUUUGGAUUUUUUUUCCACAAAAUAUUACAACUUUAAUCUCGUAAUCUUAGAAUUGUAUUUUUUUUUUUUUUUUUUUUUACGUGGCACUAACGCCAUGUUAGUAUUUAUUGGUGAUUAAAUUGUAUAGGCCUAUGUUGAAAUAGAUUAUUGUACAGAUGCAGUAUUGAAUACAUACUGAGUAGCCUACAUAUUGAAUGUUAAAUGAUCUUGCCGACAAUUUCAUCCAGAUGCAGGCAAAGUCGAAAACACCUACUCAAUGCAAUGGACCUUCUAGUGUAAACAAAUGCUGGGCAUUUUUGACAUCUAUAUAUAAAUCAGGUUGCCAGAUAUAUAGAUAUUUUACUGAAUUUAAGAGAUAACAAAUCACACAAAAUAAUAAAAUAUGUUUCAAACAAAGGUCUCAUAUUAUUUGAAACUAUUUAUUAUAUAUUGAAAAUAUUUAGACAGUUGCAAUUACUUUUGUAAACACAGACAGUCCUACCACUUUUUAAUUAGGUUCUUCUAAUGACCUUAAGCGGCUUAGCUCACUCAGUCACCUAAUAAUCAAUAAACUCCAUCAGCUGUGUCCAGCUGUAGAAAGACUUUCUCUUUAAUGUGUUCAUCUAAGGAACAGAAGCUGAUUUCUGCUGCUAUCAGAACACAUGCUGGACUUGUUUACAUACAGGCUGAGUUUAGCACAAUCAGAGGGGCUUAAUGGAUUUAUACAUGUACUCAGGAGACAAACCCUGGCAGUUUAACCCAGCUGUGGCCAGGACGCUUCCGCUAAUUAAUGAAGCUCAACAACUACAAACACAACACAUUGUAGUGUUUCUAUUAGACAUUUCCUGUCUUUUUUUUUUACCACUUAAAUAUGUGAUGCACAAUUAAAAAUCCAUGCUGGACUGUAUAAUUUCACUGUUUUCCAUUUUGACAAAUUAACCAGCAUACAAAUUAUUCCCAUCCUCCCUGGCUUUACUAAAAGGAAUCCACUGGCAGGAAUGCACCUUUUGACUGUUAAACUGGCAUAUGGAUUGUUUUACAAUAAAAUAUGGGACAUGUUAUUGUCAUAAAUGUAAUAAAGCCUGAAAGUCAUAUCUUGAGCUUUAUCCUGCUGAUGUGCAGCUCUGUGGUAUUUCCCCCCAUGGUUCCAUAGUGAAAUCCCUGUCCUGCUGAGAUACAUAUGAUUAUAUUAGCCUCUUACUCCCAGUGCAGGAAGAAAAACCUGCCACAGUUUGGCAAAGGUACAGAUAUCGCUCCGCUUGUAUUUUUCAGCACACCUCAGCAAUUUGCUGGCUAAAGCUGUUGUAAAAGUUGUUUUUGUGUAGUGUUUUCCUUUUUUUUUUAUUUUUUAUUUAUUUAUUUAUUUUUUUGUGGCACUCCACAUUUGAUUACAUUUAAAGCCUUUGACACUGUGAUAGGUUUAAAGACAUUCCAUUUAAAAUAAUUAAAUGUAUUUAUUUAGUAGGGCUUUAGAAAACAACAACAAAAAACUUUAAAUAUUAGAAUAGAAUUUUGUUUGUUUGUUUUCUAAGUUCAGAUGAAAGUUGUAUUUCUCACAUUACACAGCAAUUAUUUUUGGUACAAGGGAAGCAAAAAUGGAGUCCAGUUGUUCUGUUUUUUUUUGUUGCAUUUAGUGUUGUGUUUUGUUAUAUUUUUUGUUGUUGCUUUUUUCACACUAUGGUAAAAAGGCACUGAAAUGUGUUGUCAACAUCCUACUUUCUUUUAUUUUGUUUCUUUCUUUUGGUUUGUUAAGUUGGGUUUUGUUUAGACUCGCUGAGAUUUUUUAUUUUAUUAUUAAUUAUUAUUAUUAUUAUUAUUAUUAUUAUUAUUUACAUUAUGGUACAAAGGUAUUGAAAUGUGCUUUCUACCCCCUUGUUUUGU
ensembl:lncRNA